rnacentral:rRNA from 1 species
UACAGAGGGGGCAAGCGUUGUUCGGAAUUACUGGGCGUAAAGGGCGCGUAGGCGGCCACCGCAAGUCAAUUGUGAAAUCUCCGGGCUUAACUCGGAAAGGUCAACUGAUACUGCGGGGCUAGAGUGCGGAAGGGGCAACUGGAAUUCUCGGUGUAGCGGUGAAAUGCGUAGAUAUCGUGAGGAACACCAGAGGCGAAGGCGGCUACCUGGACAAUUGCUGACGCUCAGGCACGAAAGCGUGGGGAGCAAAAGGG